UACGAGGGGGGCAAAUGUUGUUCGGAAUCACUGGGCGUAAAGGGAGCGUAGGCGGGUUCUUAAGUUAGGUGUUUAAUCCCGGGGCCCAACCCCGGACAGGCACCUAAAACUGGGAGUCUUGAAUAGUGGAGAGGACGGCGGAAUUGGGGGUGUAGCGGUGGAAUGCGUAGAGAUCCCCAAGAACACCAGUUGCGAAGGCGGCAUCCUGGCCCUGACCUGACGCUGAGGCGCGAAAGCGUGGGUAGCAAACGGG
rnacentral:rRNA from 1 species